CUUGUUUCUUAGAUGCUCAUAUUCCACUACUCACCCAUAGCUAUCCCUGAAUAAAAUUCAUUGGGCAGAGAGGCAAAUAUAUGAAGGUAAGAAGAUGUAGGAUUGAGAUGUAGCAGUUUGAUGUGUUGAUAACUCCUGUGUUACUUCUUCUGGGUCGUUCUUUGUCUUGCAGAUCUCACAAGUUACAGAGCCAUGGAAUUGUCUGAGUUGGAAGGGACCUUUCAAGGUCAUUUAGUCCAUUGAAGUUGUGGACCUUUUUUAGUGACAAUACAAGGUUGGAUGCUGAGAAGAUAGCUGGAGAUCAGCAGAUCCAUGGACUUCCCCUGGUGAUGAAUAUUUCACAACAUAAUGGAGCGAAAAAGUAAAGAACCAAAACUAUAUCAAGAGAUGCUCUGAGGUGGAGAAAAGUGUUGCUUAACUGUUUUAAGUUAUUACUAAGAAUUGAGAAACAUCCCAGAUCUUAGAUUUCCUCUUUGACCACAAUCCAGAGUUUAUGACUCAUGUAUGCACUGACAUUUUCAGUCUGAUUUCCUCUAAUAAGGUAUUUUCGUGAUGUAUCCAGUUUUCAGUAUCUGUUC
rnacentral:lncRNA from 1 species